AAAAUUAGGAUAUUGGGCAUCAUACCUGAUGUUUUGUUCUGCUGUUUGCUGUUGGAGCCUGGGUACUGCACUCUGUGCUGUUUGCAUUGUACUAAAACACGCCUGAGUUUCGCUCUGACUGCUGUCCCCGGGGCCCUCAUGAAGAAGAGAUUCAUAGAUUCAUAUCUCAUGAGAUUACCCCACUGAGCAAAGAAAUGAAAUAAAUAAUGUAACUCUUUUAGUUCUGUCAAGUAUAGUAGCUCACAGAAAGAGCUUUUAAAGGCAGUGUCAGCAUGGGCUAGAUACUGCAUCAGUGCAGGGAAAAAAAGACAUCCUUUCUAAGAACAGUGCUGCAAAAUGAGGCCAAUGUGAGCCUAAUGGGUGGUGGAAAACAGUAAGCCUUUUUUUUCCCCCCCACUCCCUAAUGCAAGCCUGCAGGGGUUUAUUUGCCAGUGUGUAUGAGUCUUAGAUCAAAUCAGCUUGCUGAAACUGUACUACAACAGGAGCUCAAAAUAAAUCAUUAGAGUAGUAGGCAUCUUAUUUGGGAACCAAUCGGAGUUUGUGCCGCUUGUUUCUCCUUAGCAGCUUUAAUGAAUUUAUCAACACAAACUAGGAAAUAAAAGAUCUUACAGUAGUCUCCAUUAGGGUGAAGCCCACCAGAAAUCCAGUUCCUUCCACAGUACAAUACAAUGCUUCUAAAAGACGGAAAAGUUUGUUAUGAUAAUUUAGUCAUGUGCGAAGGAGAGCUGAAAUGAGUUUAAUAAUUUUGUGGUACUGUAACUUUAGAAAGAAAUGUUCCCCGGAAAAAUUGCUCUUCCCUGUACUGCAGAAAAUCUUGCAAAAGCCCACUUGAAAUGUGUCUAUCAACGUGCACUAACUCAGCCAGCAGGGCCAUAAUGUCAAUAUAUGUGAAGUAUUUUGGAGAACAGGAAAAGGCAAAAUACAUGCUUGAAAGACCCAAUGAAAACAGAUGAAAAAAGUGAUGUGUGCUACUAUUAUACAACUUUUUGCCUGUAUUUCUGGAGAAGUUUUAAAUGUAUAGCUGCUGCUGCAACCACAGCUAGAAACUAGCCAGCAGGCUAGCCAGGGCUGGAGUGGGGACGAAGGAAUACUGGACAAGAGAUUGGAAUCGCCUAGGAAAGGCUAUCAAGGCUGGGAGCUGCAGAAGGAAAAACAUCAGGUAAGGGACUGGGACUGGCUGAAAAACUAGGG
rnacentral:lncRNA from 1 species